rnacentral:lncRNA from 1 species
UGCCGCAGCCGCCGCCAGCGCCGCAGCCGCCGCCGUUCCGUGACGCACCGGCGUCGUGACGUCACCGCCCCGCCCCCUCCGGUUUCCUGCGGAGUUGCGCGUGAAGGCCGCGGGGGAGGGCAGUGGGCGGGGCCAGGGGUUAGAAAAGGGGAGCUGUUUCUUUAUUUAAAAAAUUUUUAAAUUUAAAACGUGCGCCGCAGGUUCCUUGAGAGUUGAGGAGCCGGAGGCAGCUACCAUUCCCAACCUCGAGGAGCGCCCCGCGCGUCGUCGGCUGUCCCACUCCGUGGGUGGCGAGGCUGAGGCCGGAGGCCGGGUGUGCCCCGUCAGUCUCCGCGGAAGGGUCCUGAGAAGUGAGUGCCAGAGGCACCGGCCGUCGCCCGACGGCAGCCCGCCAGACCGACCCCAAGCGGGCCCCUCGGGCUGGAAAGCCUGCCGCCCGCGGUGGCUUCGGGGCCGCUGCCCGGGCGACGGGGAUUCCCGGACGGGGAGUUCCCGGAUCCGCUGGGUUCCAGGGGGAAGAGUCCACUUCAACUCCUGAGGCUGUUUUCACUUUCAGCACGAAGUCAGCUGUGGGUUUCGUGGGCGCAGAACCUGCAGUGCUCAGAGUCGCAGGUCUGCCUUUUGUUUACUCUCAACUCCUGGGCUCCGGAUUGGGCCACGAAUUGACCCUGACGGUCAGACAGCACUAUUCCUUGUCCUGGCAGAGAGCAGCUAUGAAAGUACUGUGAUUCUAUUAUCUCAUAGCUACUUUCAGCAAAAGAAGGUGGUAAGGCUGUCCUUUUAAACAAUGGUAGCUCUUGAACUUUGACAUACCAAAGCAGUCCUCCUUUAGGUAGGACCCAAGAAAGCUUGAUGGAAAUCAAGAGUUCAUCUCUAUUGUAGCUUCAGAAAUCAAAUCAAGACUUACAUAAAUCAGUACAUCAACUGUUCUAAUCAGUUCUUUGAAAAAUAAUUUUGAAAAAUAAAAAGACUUUUUAUCCCAAAACAUGUUUUGAGAAUUAAAUUUGUACAGAAUUUGUAAAGUCUUUAGAUGUAUUUAUAGAGAUAGUUUUUUGUUUUUAACUCAGUAUGCCCUUCAAACCCAACUGACAGAGGUCAGGAUGUGAAAUAAGACCACAUAAUAACAUCCCUGUUUCUUAAGGGGGUAGGAGAGUAAAGAGACAAAGUGUAACAUUAUGCUGCUAUUGUGGCAGAGAUAGCUAAUGGAAUGUUUCAUUUCCAAAUCUGCAGUUUUACUUAUUGUUAGAGAUAAUUUUUCAUCAAUAAAUUAGAUGAACUGGUUAAAUCCUAUAUGAAAUUAUUAAAAAGUUAAUUUAAUUUUGAAUUGAUUUACCAGAUUGUUAAAAGUGAUUUUUAAUGGGUGGUGUUGACUGGGAGGUUUUUGGAAAAGUAAAUAUCAUAUGCCUGUUUGUUCCAUUACAUUAUGUUAUUAAACUUCUUGAUUAUUUGCCAUGAUACUCUUAAAGCACACAUUUAAAGGGGAAAAAAAGUAAUCUGUAAGACCAUGUCUCCUUAAAGAAUAUCUAUCUAUAGGAUUUAUUAUGAAAUGAAAGUAAAGAUAAAGCUAAUUUAAGAAAGAUCAAGAAGUAAGCUCCAUUCUGGUACAGAGAGGUUAAAAGACAUUUUAGGAUUAUAAA